rnacentral:rRNA from 1 species
UACGUAGGGGGCAAGCGUUGUCCGGAAUCAUUGGGCGUAAAGAGCGUGUAGGCGGCCCGGUAAGUCCGCUGUGAAAGUCCAGGGCUCAACCCUGGGAUGCCGGUGGAUACUGUCGGGCUCGAGUCCGGAAGAGGGGUGUGGAAUUCCUGGUGUAGCGGUGAAAUGCGCAGAUAUCAGGAGGAACACCAAUGGCGAAGGCAGCACUCUGGGACGUGACUGACGCUGAGACGCGAAAGCGUGGGGAGCAAACAGG